AUUGAACGCUGGCGGCAUGCUUUACACAUGCAAGUCGAACGGUAACAGGCCGCAAGGUGCUGACGAGUGGCGAACGGGUGAGUAAUGCAUCGGAACGUGCCCAGUCGUGGGGGAUAACGCAGCGAAAGCUGCGCUGAUACCGCAUACGAUCUAUGGAUGAAAGCGGGGACCGAAAGGCCCCGCGCGAUUGGAGCGGCCGAUGGCAGAUUAGGUAGUUGGUGGGGUAAAGGCUCACCAAGCCAACGAUCUGUAGCUGGUCUGAGAGGACGACCAGCCACACGGGGACUGAGACACGGCCCAGACUCCUACGGGAGGCAGCAGUGGGGAAUUUUGGACAAUGGGCGCAAGCCUGAUUCAGCAAUGCCGCGUGCAGGAAGAAGGCCUUCGGGUUGUAAACUGCUUUUGUACGGAACGAAAAGGCUCUGGUUAAUACCUGGGGCUCAUGACGGUACCGUAAGAAUAAGCACCGGCUAACUACGUGCCAGCAGCCGCCGUAAUAC
rnacentral:rRNA from 1 species